UGGGGAAUAUUGGACAAUGGGCGAAAGCCUGAUCCAGCUACGCCGCGUGAGUGAUUGAAGGCCUUCGGGUUGUAAAGCUCUGUCGUGAGGGAAGAAAAUUUGACUGUACCUCACAAGAAAGCACCGGCUAACUCCGUGCCAGCAGCCGCGGUAAUACGGAGGGUGCAAGCGUUGCUCGGAAUCACUGGGCGUAAAGCGUGCGCAGGCGGCUAGUUAAGUCAGAUGUGAAAGCCCCAGGCUCAACCUGGGAAUAGCAUCUGAAACUGGCAAGCUUGAGGCUGAGAGAGGGAAGUGGAAUUCCUGGUGUAGAGGUGAAAUUCGUUGAUAUCAGGAGGAACACCGGCGGCGAAGGCGGCUUCCUGGCUCAGUUCUGACGCUCAUGCACGAAAGCGUGGGGAGCAAACAGG
rnacentral:rRNA from 1 species